rnacentral:lncRNA from 1 species
UCAAAUUUACAUUAUUAAAAUUACUACAAUGAUGAGAAUUUGGAAAUUAUUUUUAAUAUCAAAAUUUAAAAAAAAAAUAAUAAUGAUAACAAAUUGACAAAAUGCCUCCUGUUAUGAGAACUUUGGAAGUUAAUUUCUAAUAUCAGAUUUCAAAAAAAAAUAAUAAUAAUGAUUAAGAUUUGAUAAAUGCCAUCUGUUAUGAGAUUCUUAAACAUGAAAAUGCAAGGAAUAAAUUUAAUAAAUCUAUUUGUACCAAAAGCUGAUCAAAAGGAAAAAUAAUCACUAUUUUUUCCUAGUAAAAUCUAGCUCUCUGAUAUUCUCUGACGACACAAAUUCUACCUGUGUUUCAAAAUCGUCAAUUACUAUUUAAAAAAAUUUCAAAUUCUACUGCCAAAAUGUUGAAAUUAAUAAACGGCUUCAUUUUUUAAAGCAAUAGAUGUAGCAAAGAUCAUACUUUAAAGUAAGAACUGUCGAUCUUACAAUAACAAUGAAAUGAUUGACAAUACGUCUAUACAAAACCUAGCUGUCUUCAAGUUGAAUAAAUAUUGCAAUAAUGAAAUGAAAAUGAUUAAUAAUUUUAGAGUUGACAACUAAUAAAUGGAAUGGAAAUUUAAAUAAAACUGAAAUAUAGAUACACCUUGGUCAAUGAUACAAAAAAAAUGUGUAAGAUUGUGCUGUGAUUUUUUACAUGGUCUUAUAUGAAACUGUGUUGUACUCAAUAUGCACUUUUGUACUGAACAUUCAAUUUUAAAAAUGGACACAGCAUUAUCAACUAAUUACAGCAUUAAUAUUUUUUAUUUCAAUUGAAUGAAAAAGCUGUUAAAACUAUGCAUCAUAAAUUCCAGAUCAUUAAAUAAAAUUAGUCGUGAAUAUCAAAUUUGGAUCUGUCCAUUUACAAAACAAAUAUUUUUAAAAAUCUAAUGCAUUCUGGGUAAUAUUUUCCAAAACACAACCAAAACAUUCUGAUUGGCUAAAGACAUCCAAAACAGUAAGAGGUUUGACCAUCAGAACUAGCUGUAGACAUUAAGAUUCUGAAACAGAAAAUUGUUCAGGUACUCAAUACAAAUGCCACAAGUUAAGUGUCAGGAAAAAAAGAAAAACCUAUUGAACAAUAUAUAGGGCAGAAUGAUUAUUAAGUAUCGAACAUCGUCAUAAUCCUUUUUUACAACAUGAGCAAUGUUUUAUGAUAUGAAUAUGCUACAAUAUCAUAAAUAAUAUGAGUUGCGACUAUCCAGGAUACUGGUAAUAUAAACAUAACUUCAAAAGAUUUACAGUGUACAUGUAUAUUACUAUAUGCUAUACAAAGAGAUAUUGACAGAAAAUUUACUAUAAAUUACAUAUCUACAAUAAGCGAUGAUUCAAUUUUCUAAACAGUUGGAAUGAAAGAUAAAAUCUAUUGAACAGAUUUUGGAAGAACUUAUCAUUUUGUUUUUUUCUCUGCUAACUAAUAAAUAAAAUUAAUUCAAGCAUAAUAUAAUGUAAUACAAAUCAUAAGCAUAUCACUAAAAGAGUUUCUGUAUCCUUAAAACAUUCUGAAAUUGACCUUAUUCACAUGAUUUUUUUUUUAUCAUAGGUAACCGUUUUCAAAUCUCCAAACUUGAAGAUCUUCCUACCGAAGAUUAAUGUUUGAAUAUAUUUUGGGUAUGACCUACAUCUUCAAACUUUCAAAAUAACCCAAAAAUUAAAAGAAGCUAAAAGCUCCACAAUUUUCCUUAUUAAUUCUGUCCAUCUCUUAAGGUGGUACCCAACACUUUAACUAAAAUCAAUUUGGCUCGUUUAAUUUUCUUAAAAUUUUGACAAAGUAUUUACUUUGACCCUUUUACAAAAAUAUAAAAAUUUCAAAAAAUUUGAACCAACAGUUUUAUCAGAAA